rfam:Felis catus isolate Cinnamon breed Abyssinian chromosome B2, whole genome shotgun sequence.
GCCUAGCUGGCUCAGUUGAUAGAGCAUGUGGCUCUUGAUCUUAGGGUUGUGAGUUCAAGUCCCAUGUUAGGUG